rnacentral:rRNA from 1 species
UUGACGGGCCCCGCACAAGCAGCGGAGCGUGUGGUUUAAUUCGAUGCUACACGAAGAACCUUACCAGGGUUUGACAUACAAGUAGUAGGGAAAGGAAACUGGACCGACCCUUCGGGGAGCUUGUACAGGUGCUGCAUGGCUGUCGUCAGCUCGUGUCGUGAGAUGUUCGGUUAAGUCCGCUAACGAGCGCAACCCUCGCUGUGUGUUACAAGUGUCACACGGAACUGCCGGUCAUAAACCGGAGGAAGGUGGGGAUGACGUCAAAUCAUCAUGCCCCUUAUGACCUGGGCUACACACGUGCUACAAUGGGCGGUACAAAGGGUCGCGAACCCGCGAGGGGGAGCCAAUCCCAAAAAGCCGCUCUCAGUUCGGAUUGCAGGCUGCAACUCGCCUGCAUGAAGCCGGAAUCGCUAGUAAUCGCGGAUCAGCAUGCCGCGGUCGAAUACGUUCCGGCCUU